GACGAACGCUGGCGGCGUGCUUAACACACGCAAGUCGAACGGUAAGGCCCUUCGGGGUACACGAGUGGCGAACGGGUGAGUAACACGUGGGUGAUCUGCCCUGCACUUCGGGAUAAGCCUGGGAAACUGGGUCUAAUACCGGAUAGGACCACUGCCUGCAUGGGUGGUGGUGGAAAGCUUUUGCGGUGUGGGAUGGGCCCGCGGCCUAUCAGCUUGUUGGUGGGGCGAUGGCCUACCAAGGCGACGACGGGGAGCCGGCCUGAGAGGGUGACCGGCCACACUGGGACUGAGAUACGGCCCAGACUCCUACGGGAGGCAGCAGUGGGGAAUAUUGCACAAUGGGCGCAAGCCUGAUGCAGCGACGCCGCGUGAGGGAUGACGGCCUUCGGGUUGUAAACCUCUUUCAGCACCGACGAAGCGCAAGUGACGGUAGGUGCAGAAGGAGGACCGGCCAACUACGUGCCAGCAGCCGCCGUAA
rnacentral:rRNA from 1 species